UUAUAAAGUUCAUAGUUACAAGACAAUAAAUGCUUUAAGUUGCCUUAAAGACAUGUGAGAAAGUUAAACAGAACUGUUUUUGUCAAAGUUUAAUUCUAACACGUUGAUUUUUACAUCCCAAAAAGGUCAAGGUAAGGGAUUUUUGUGAAAUUUGACAAAAUCAGCUGGAUUUCAACCAAAUAAAGGACCAGGAAACAUAGAUCGCAGGCGUCGACAAGCUUAAUAUCUAUAAUACUAAAAUUACGAGGUCCAAUUUGUCAGCCGUCAUCACGUAAAAACGAUGAAUCAAAGAAUUCAACUUUAUAUAUAACUAAUAUAGUACAAUGGUGUUGAUUAAAAAUUACACCACUCUAGGCCCG
rnacentral:lncRNA from 1 species